ACGGGAGGCAGCAGUGGGGAAUAUUGGACAAUGGGGGAAACCCUGAUCCAGCGACGCCGCGUGAGUGAAGAAGUAUUUCGGUAUGUAAAGCUCUAUCAGCAGGGAAGAUGAUGACGGUACCUGACUAAGAAGCCCCGGCUAACUACGUGCCAGCAGCCGCGGUAAUACGUAGGGGGCAAGCGUUAUCCGGAUUUACUGGGUGUAAAGGGAGCGUAGGCGGCCAGACAAGUCAGAUGUGAAAGCCCGGGGCUCAACCCCGGGACUGCAUUUGAAACUGUAGGGCUAGAGUACUGGAGAGGCAAGCGGAAUUCCUAGUGUAGCGGUGAAAUGCGUAGAUAUUAGGAGGAACACCAGUGGCGAAGGCGGCUUACUGGACGAUAACUGACGUUGAGGCUCGAAAGCGUGGGGAGCAAACAGGAUUAGAUACCCUGGUA
rnacentral:rRNA from 1 species